UUUAAAUGUAAAAUAAAUAUACUAAAGUAGUAUUAGUUAUGUUCUUGAAAUUUAAAGAUUUUGGCGGUAUUUUAGUCUAUUUAGAGGAGCCUGUUCUAUAAUUGAUAAUCCACGAUUAAUUUUACUUAAUUUAUAUAAAUUUGUAUACCGUCGUUAUAAGAAGAUUUUAAAAGAAUAUAAAUUUUUAAUAUUUUAUAUAAAAAAAUAUAUCAGAUCAAGGUGCAGUUUAUAGUUAAGAAGAAAUGGGCUACAAUAAAAAUAUUUAUUUAUACGGAUUAAAAUAAGAAAUUGAUUUUAUGAAGGUGGAUUUAAUAGUAAUAGGAUUAAUUUAAAUUUUAUGAUUUUAGCUCUAAAAUAUGU
rnacentral:rRNA from 1 species